UAAACAAUAAUUAUUUUGUAUAAAAAUACCCGAAAUAAAAAGAUCAAAAAAGUUAUACUGUAUAGUGACUAAAAUUAAACGUAUAGCAUAAUGUAAUUUAAAUAACUUUUUAGAGGAGAAAUUCCAACAGUUUUUAUGAUAGCUGGAUUAAAGAGAAAAGUAUUGAGUACUAAAGACAACUAUAAAGUGAUAAGAUUUUAUAAUUUAAAUAAGGUUUAUUUUAGUAGCCCCAGGGCUAAUCCCCUAAAAGCUUGUUACUAAUAACAUUUUUUAAGUGUACCUUUUUAUUACUAACUUUAAACUUUGAAUAAUUAGUAGGGCUUAGUUUAUAAUGUUUAAAUUAGUAUUAAUAUCUAUAAUUUUUAUUAAGGAACUCGGCAAAUUUUUAUAUUCGACUGUUUAACAAAAACAUAGUCCGUUGUUAUUUAUAGCGGGUAUUGACUGCCCGGUGAUUUUUAUUUUAACGGCCGCAGUACCUUGACUGUGCGAAGGUAGCAUAAUAAUUUGGCCUUUAAAUGGGGUCUAGGAUGAAAGGACGUACGAAUAGCAACUGUCUCCAACUUAACUAAUAAAAACUUACUUAAAAGGUGCAAAUACCUUUAUAUUUAUAUAAUAGACGAGAAGACCCUUAGAAUUUAAUUUAAAAUAAAAACAUAUUUAUUUCAAUUUUGUUGGGGCAACAGAGCAGCAGCUACCUAAAUCUGCUUGUUAAUUAUAAAAUAGGCCGACUAUUAGUAUGAACAUAUAAAUUACCUUAGGGAUAACAGCAUAAUUUAAUAAAGAUUGUGACCUCGAUGUUGGAUUAGGGCCAUAAUAAUUUAACCAACUAUUAUGUUAGUUCUGUUCGAACUUUGUAACCUACAUGAUCUGAGUUCA
rnacentral:rRNA from 1 species